rnacentral:rRNA from 1 species
CAGCAGCCGCGGGAAUACAGAGGGUGCGAGCGUUAAUCGGAUUUACUGGGCGUAAAGCGUGCGUAGGCGGCUUCUUAAGUCGGAUGUGAAAUCCCUGAGCUUAACUUAGGAAUUGCAUUCGAUACUGGGAAGCUAGAGUAUGGGAGAGGAUGGUAGAAUUCCAGGUGUAGCGGUGAAAUGCGUAGAGAUCUGGAGGAAUACCGAUGGCGAAGGCAGCCAUCUGGCCUAAUACUGACGCUGAGGUACGAAAGCAUGGGGAGCAAACAGGAUUAGAUACCCCUGUAGUCCCUGUCUUUUAUAC